GAUGAAGAACGUAGUGAAAUGCGAUAAGUAAUGUGAAUUGCAGAAUUCAGUGAAUCAUCGAAUCUUUGAACGCACCUUGCACCCUUUGGCAUUCCGAAGGGUAUGCUCGUUUGAGUGUCAUUGUACUCUCACACUUCUGAUCCUUUGGAUUGGGAGCGGUGGACUUGGGUGUUGCUGCUUUACUGUGGCUCACCUCAAAUGCAUUAGUGCAACUCUUGGUUGGACAUAGUACGGCGUGAUAAGUAUCUUCGCCGGCACCUCGCAAGAGGGUGGCUGAUCAGGAGCUCUGUGCUUUCCAACUGUCUUCAGACAACAACUGACAACUUGACCUCAAAUCGAGUAGGACCACCCGCUGAACUUAAGCAUAUCAAUAAGCGGAGGA
rnacentral:misc_RNA from 1 species